AGAGUUUGAUCCUGGCUCAGGAUGAACGCUAGCGACAGGCUUAACACAUGCAAGUCGAGGGGCAGCACGGUGUAGCAAUACACUGGUGGCGACCGGCGCACGGGUGAGUAACACGUGUGCAACCAACCCCGUACCGGGAGAUAACCCGCGGAAACGUGGACUAACAUCCCAUGACACUCGAGAGCCGCAUGGCUCUAGAUUUAAAAUUCCGGUGGUACGGGACGGGCACGCGCGACAUUAGGUAGUUGGCGGGGUAACGGCCCACCAAGCCGACGAUGUCUAGGGGUUCUGAGAGGAAGGUCCCCCACACUGGAACUGAGACACGGUCCAGACUCCUACGGGAGGCAGCAGUGAGGAAUAUUGGUCAAUGGGCGAGAGCCUGAACCAGCCAAGUCGCGUGAGGGAAGAAUGGUCUAUGGCCUGUAAACCUCUUUUGUCAGGGAAGAAUAAGGAUGACGAGUCAUUCGAUGCCAGUACUUGACGAAUAAGCAUCGGCUAACUCCGUGCCAGCAGCCGCGGUAAUACGGGGGAUGCGAGCGUUAUCCGGAUUUAUUGGGUUUAAAGGGCGCGUAGGCGGGACGUCAAGUCAGCGGUAAAAGACUGCAGCUAAACUGUAGCACGCCGUUGAAACUGGCGCCCUGGAGACGAGACGAGGGAGGCGGAACAAGUGAAGUAGCGGUGAAAUGCAUAGAUAUCACUUGGAACCCCGAUAGCGAAGGCAGCUUCCCAGGCUCGAUCUGACGCUGAUGCGCGAGAGCGUGGGUAGCGAACAGGAUUAGAUACCCUGGUAGUCCACGCCGUAAACGAUGCUCACUGGAUCUUGGCGAUACACGGCCAGGGUUCAAGCGAAAGUAUUAAGUGAGCCACCUGGGGAGUACGUCGGCAACGAUGAAACUCAAAGGAAUUGACGGGGGCCCGCA
rnacentral:rRNA from 1 species